UUCUCAGGUGGUGUUGAUGCUGUUCGUCCAGGGACCAUACUUGAGAGCCUCUGCUCUAAUCGAUGGGAACAGACUGGCUGGAUGACUGGCCUCCAGGGGGCGCUCCAUUCCUGACAGCACAUCCCGCCAGAGCUGGUUGAUGGACACUCUACCAGGAGCUGAAUUUUACCACGUACCUUCUUUGCCUGUUAAGGGCACUGCUUCAAUGAAACUUGCAAGGAGCAAAGAACAGAUUAGCCAUGGAGAAGAAAUAACAAGGAAAUUCAGGACAACAUCAUCAGAUAAGAUAAAUAUCGUAGGGGAAAAUAUCCUUGUCAAACAGCUAAACAAUAAUUAACCUCAUAGCAUAUCCUUGAUGACUAGACAUUCACUUUGCAAAUAAUUGUUGUGACUCUAUGUUUGCUCCAGACACAGAGCUUUUAUUGUCACCCAAAGAUGCCUAUGAGAACCAAAAGAAUCAAACUGAACCAAGAUUUCUGCCAGAAUCAAUUUCCUCAAGCCAGAAGGCUUUAUCAUUCACAGUCUGUGCAACGGAUUUUUUUUUUUUAAAUAAAAACAGACUCCUUUAUUGAU